UUGGAAAUCUCAUAGAUCGAAAACCCUGCCGCACUCCAUUCUUCCCUUCUCUCGAUCAGCUUUCCCUUCGAAGUUUACGUGUACGAAUCUUGUUGAUUGUUCCAUAUUCGAUCAGUAUAACCUAUCCUCUGGAUAUGGUUGAUCAACGUGAAACAAAGUGAUAAAACAUACCGAGCAAAUCCCAGGUAAUUACUGGAGGAACUUGGGAACUUGCUGUCUGAUGCUGCUGGAGUGGUUGUGG